GCCAACGUCCAUACCACGUUGAAUACACCGGUUCUCGUCCGAUCACCGACGUUAAGCAACGUCGGGCGCGGUCAGUACUUGGAUGGGUGACCGCCUGGGAACACCGCGUGACGUUGGCU
rnacentral:rRNA from 2 species